AUUGAACGCUGGCGGCAGGCCUAACACAUGCAAGUCGAGCGAGCGGCGGACGGGUGAGUAAUGUCUGGGAAACUGCCUGAUGGAGGGGGAUAACUACUGGAAACGGUAGCUAAUACCGCAUACCAUCAGAUGUGCCCAGAUGGGAUUAGCUAGUAGGUGGGGUAACGGCUCACCUAGGCGACGAUCCCUAGCUGGUCUGAGAGGAUGACAAGCCCCACGGGAACUGAGACACGAUCCGGACUCCUACGGGGGGCAGCAGUGGGGAUUAUUGCACAAUGGGCGCAAGCCUGAUGCAGCCAUGCCGCGUGUGUGAAGAAGGCCUUCGGUUUGUAAAGUACUUUCGGCGGGGAGGCGUUACCCGCGAAGAAGCACCGGCUAACUCCGUGCCAGCCGCCGCGGUAAUAC
rnacentral:rRNA from 1 species